CAGUCAAACCGCACCAGCGCUGCUGCGAGACGAAAGCCAGCUCUCAUCUGGCACAUGCACGCACGCACACACAUACACACGCACACACACACACACGCGCGCGCUUUGCAUCGUGCAGGGGGUCUCGUGAUAAGAAACCUGUUACACACUACACAUGUGAUGGCGUGCAGCGGCGACGAGUCCUCCGCCUCCGCCGAUUAAUCAACGGGCGAUCUUGCACUCCUGUCUGGGGUCGGGCGUCUUAAUGAGGAUAUUGCGACAAUGGUGAAGGACAAGGCCGAAAACCGGACGCUUCAGUAUCAGCAAACUUUGAUCUUGUCCCUCCUCGUGCCCCGUCAUCUAUUCCUCUGUCAUCUUCCCCUGAGCUGUUUGCUAGAGCGGCCCCUUCUACUUAUGAACCAAAAGUGGAGUGUUUCUGAAUAUUAAUUGCCUCAUGCACCAGUUUUCCUCACUCACGUUGUUGCAGGACUGACAGUGAAACCCCGGAGCACUUCACACAGGAGUAUCUAUAUUCAGAUAAAGGGACAGACAGACAGAGAGACAGAGGCAGGCAGUCAAACCAGCAGAUUAAAGUGUCCUUCCACCCCAA